ACGGAGGGGGCUAGCGUUGUUCGGAAUUACUGGGCGUAAAGCGCGCGUAGGCGGCUUUGUAAGUCAGAGGUGAAAGCCUGGAGCUCAACUCCAGAACUGCCUUUGAAACUACAUCGCUAGAAUCGUGGAGAGGUGAGUGGAAUUCCGAGUGUAGAGGUGAAAUUCGUAGAUAUUCGCAAGAACACCAGUGGCGAAGGCGGCUCACUGGCCCGAUACUGACGCUGAGGUGCGAAAGCGUGGGGAGCAAACAGGA
rnacentral:rRNA from 1 species